rfam:Nematostella vectensis strain CH2 x CH6 NEMVEscaffold_142_Cont15279, whole genome shotgun sequence.
GUCUCUGUGUUGCAAUCGGUAAGCGCGUUCGUCUGUUAACCGAAAGGUUGGUGGUUCAAGCCCACCCAGGGAAG